AUUGAACGCUGGCGGCAGGCCUAACACAUGCAAGUCGAACGAGUGGCGGAAGGGUGAGUAAUGUCUGGGAAACUGCCUGAUGGAGGGGGAUAACUACUGGAAACGGUAGUUACUACCGCAUACCAUCAGCUGUGCCCAGAUGGGAUUAGCUUGUUAGUGGGGUAACGGCUCACCAAGACGACGAUCCCUAGCUGGUCUGAGAGGAUGACCAGGCACUCUGGAACUUAGACACGGUCCAAACUCCUACGGGAGUCAGCGGUGGUGAAUAUUGCACGAUUGGCGCAAGCCUGAUGCAGCCAUGCCGCGAGUAUGAAGGAGGCCUUCGGGUUGUAAAGUACUUACAGCGGGGAGGCGUUACCCGCAGGAGAAGCACCGGCUAACUCCGUGCCAGCAGCCGCGGUAAUAC
rnacentral:rRNA from 1 species